rfam:Lactobacillus pontis DSM 8475 NODE_76, whole genome shotgun sequence.
GCCGCCUUAGCUCAGAUAGGUAGAAGCACAUCCAUGGUAAGGGUGACACGGCAGUUCAAUUCUGCCAGGCGGCU